GCCCAGGCGUGGGUCUCCGCCAUGGGCCUGCGCCGCCUCGGGACCGGGGUCAGGGAGCUCCUGCCUGCCUGGAUGAAGAGGAGGUCAAGACUUUGUCCCCCACUCCGCAAGAUACCCUCUCUGUUCCGGAGCGGUGAGACAGGAUUUCACCAUGUUAGCCAGGAUGGUCUUGAUCUCCUGACCUCAUGAUCUGCCCACCUCGGCCUCCCAAAGUGCUGGGCUUACAGGCGUGAGCCACCGUGCCCGGCCAAAAAUAACUUUUAAAAACAUGAGUAUAGCAUACACACACACAAAAGUCCACAAAUCCUAGGUGUACCACUUGAUGAAUGAUCCCAACGUGAGCACACCUCUGGAUUACCACCUGGAUCAAGAAAUAGGACAUCACAGCAGCUGGCAGCUUCCAAGGAGAAGCUCUGGAAAGUUCUGCCUGUCUCAGCACCUGGCUGGAUCGGAAACGAGUUUUCUUUAACCAGAUUUUUAAUGACUGACUUAUGUGGACAAAUCAUAACUGAAUGAAUCACCUCCUUUGUUGAUUUUUUUGGGUACUUUAUUUGCUAUUAUAAAUGAUGCUGUAAUAAGCACCCUUGAAGAAAUCUUCAUAUCUGCCUCUCCUGUGUAGCAGGUCACAGUGCCUGGGUUUGGUUCUAGCCCUCAUUUGUGAACUGUGUGACUCACCAUGCCUUUUUUCUUUCUGUAAGACAGGAAUAAUGGUAAGAAUUUAAAUGGGGGUAAUAUGGAGCGCGUUUAGUUCAGAGCCUGGUGCAUACAAGCACUCAAUAAGUACUGGCGAUUAUUAGACCUUUAGAUUAAUUUAUUAGAAGUUGGAUUUCUGGUGAAAGGGUUUGAGUGUUUUUGAGGCUUUGGCACAGAAUACCCAGCUGGUCCCAGAAAGGUGGUUCCCAUUUACCUGCCCGAAGGUAAUUCACCCUUACUGAUACUGAGUACUGUUUUCUAAAAGAACAUUAAAAAUUGGAUAGGUUAAAAACAGGUGAAUACAUUUUUUUAGUUGCAUUUUUUUGGUUACCCGUGAGAGUGAACAUGUUGCCAUGUGUUUGCUGACCUCCUAAAUGGUCUAUUUGCUCCUACCUUUGUACCCCAAAAGUCUGCUCUCAAGAUGGUAGCCAGAAUGAUCCUUUUUGAGACAUAAGUCAAAAUUUCACUCUUCUCCUUAAAGCUCUGCAAUGGUUCUCAGGUUAAAAGCCAAAGUCCUGUUCAAGGCCUCCAGGGUCCUCACCACUUGGUCCCUUGCUCUUUCUGUUCUAGCCAACUUGGCCUUCUCCUGCCCCUCCGCCGCACCAUGGCAAUUUCCCCUGCUCUGUGUGGUCAACUACCUGAAUCUGUUCAAAGCUUUGCUCAAAUGUCUCCUUCCUGAUGAGACCUCCCCAGCCCCUGAGCUCCCCAUGCCUCACUCCUGAUCGCCUUACUUAACCCUUCUUUUUCUUUUUUGCCAGUAGUACUUAUCACCGUCUAAAAUACUUCAUAAUUUACUUGUUUAUUGUUUGCCCCUCUCCAAUAGAAUGUAAGCUCCUUGGGGCAGGGACCUUUGUCCUUUGUCUUGUUCACUGCUGUGUCCCAUGUGUAAACUUGUCUGGCACAGAAGAGGUGCUCGAUAAAUAUUUGUUGAGUGAAUGAAUGGUAAAUUUUCUGUUCAUAUUCUUUGACUAUUUUCUAUUGUAAUGUUCAUCUUUUUAGUAUUGGUUUAUAAGAUGUAUAUUUAGCACCUUUUCAUAUAUCACUCUUUGUCACAUAUUAUGCAACUAAUUUGUCAUUUCCAUCAAUUUUUAAAAUACUUUCUUGAUGCUUCAUUUUUAAGCUGUCAGAUUAUUAAUCUUUUCUUUAUGGUCUUGGACUUUAUUGUUGCAUAACCGCUGCCUUCACCAGGAACAUAUAAAUUUUCAAUUAAAUGUUCUUCUGAGAUUUUAUGAUUUCACUUUUUAUAUUAAACUCUUCAUUUUGUCUUCAUGUGUGGUGAGAGGUAAGAACAUAACUUUAAAGCAAAUUAACCAACUAUCCCCAAAUGAAUUAUAAAUAAAUUAAUCAUUUUCCAAUGAUCUGAAAGGCCAUUUUAUCAUACACUAAAUAUUUUUGUGUGUUUGACUGGGUUUACCGUUCUGUUCCGUUGGCCUAUCACAUCGUUCUUACAUUGGUAUUUGUUGCCCUAUUUUAAUGAUUGUAACUUUUUAAUAAGGGUUAAUGACUGAGAAUACAAGUCCCAUUGUUUUGUUUUAUUAUUUUUAUUAUUUUUUUGAGACAGGGUUUCACUCUGUCACCCAGGCUGGAGUAUAGUAGCACUAUCUCGGCUCAUUGCAACCUCUGCCUCCCUGGUUCAAGUGAUUCUCCCACCUCAACCUCCCGAGUAGCUGGGACUACAGAUGCAUGCCACCACACCCAGCUAAUUCUUGUAUUUUUAGUAGAGACAGGGUUUCACCAUGUUGACCAGGCUGGUCUUGAACUCCUGGCUUCAAGUGAUUCACCUGCCUCGACCUCCCAAAGUGCUGGGAUUACAGGCGUGACUCACCACGCCUGGCCCAUUUUUUUCUUUUGAGGUGUUCUUUGUGGCAAUUCAUAUAUUCUUUAAGAUAAAUUCUAAACUUUUUUUUUCUGCCGAGAUAAACUAGCAGACAAAUCCCACUGGACAUUGCAAUUGGAUUAGUUUUGUAGAUUAAUUUAGUGAUAAUCAACUUCUUUGCACCAUUGAGUGCUUCUGUCCGGGAACGUGGCAUAUCUUUCUAUUAUUAAGGUCUUUUUUAUUAUAGGUCUUUAGGGAAGCUUUAUUUUAUAGAUGAAUGUAGUGUGUUUGGUGCUUAUUUUCAUAAAAUAAAGCAAUGACAUCUGUGGCAGGCAGCUUCUGAAAUGGCUCCCAAUGAUCCUUACCUUCUGAUAGUCACCCCCUUGGAGAAUCCCUUUCCUUUGUGUGUGGGCUGGAUCUAGUGACUUGCUUCUCAUAAAUAGAAUAUGGCAAAAAAUGAUGGGUUGUUACUUCUGAGAUUAGGUUAUAAGAGGCGAAUUUCUGUUUUGCUGUAAUUUUGUCUCUCUAACCCUCUUGCUUUCCUGUGCUCAUGAAACCAGCUGCUGUGUUGUGAGCCACCUUAUGGAAAACCCAUGUGGCAGAGAACCGAGGGUGGUGGCUGGCCAACAGCAAGCCAGGAGCUGAGGCCCACAGUCCAACAACUGGUGAGGAACCACAUGCUGCCAGCAGCCAUGUGAGGGAACUUAGAAGCAAAUCCUUCCCCAGUUGAGCCUUCAGAUGACACCAGAGCCUUGGCUGACCCCUUACUUUUACCCUUGUAAGAGACUUUGAGCCAGAAGACUUGGCUAAACCACACCUGGAUUCCUGACCCACAGAAACUUGAAAUAAUAAAUGUGUUGUUUUAAGUCACUCGGUUUUGGGGUAAUUUGUUACAUAGCAGAGAUAACUAAUAUAGCCCCCCUUUUUU
rnacentral:lncRNA from 10 species